ACCGAUAUGGUGCAGUGGUUAGCAUUUUGGACUUUCACUCCAAAGACCGGGGUUCGAACCCCCGUAUCGGUG
rnacentral:tRNA from 1 species